GUGGGGAAUAUUGCACAAUGGGCGAAAGCCUGAUGCAGCAACGCCGCGUGAGGGACGACGGCCUUCGGGUUGUAAACCUCUUUUAGUAGGGAAGAAGCGAAAGUGACGGUACCUGCAGAAAAAGCACCGGCUAACUACGUGCCAGCAGCCGCGGUAAUACGUAGGGUGCAAGCGUUAUCCGGAAUUAUUGGGCGUAAAGAGCUCGUAGGCGGUCUGUCGCGUCUGCUGUGAAAACUGGAGGCUCAACCUCCAGCCUGCAGUGGGUACGGGCAGACUAGAGUGCGGUAGGGGAGAUUGGAAUUCCUGGUGUAGCGGUGGAAUGCGCAGAUAUCAGGAGGAACACCGAUGGCGAAGGCAGAUCUCUGGGCCGUAACUGACGCUGAGGAGCGAAAGCGUGGGGAGCGAACAGGAUUAGAAACCCGAGUAGUCC
rnacentral:rRNA from 1 species